rnacentral:rRNA from 1 species
UGGGGAAUAUUGGACAAUGGGGGGAACCCUGAUCCAGCCAUGCCGCGUGUGUGAAGAAGGCCUUUUGGUUGUAAAGCACUUUAAGCGAGGAGGAGGCGCUCUAGGAUAAUACCCUAGAUGCGUGGACGUUACUCGCAGAAUAAGCACCGGCUAACUCUGUGCCAGCAGCCGCGGUAAUACAGAGGGUGCGAGCGUUAAUCGGAUUUACUGGGCGUAAAGCGCGCGUAGGUGGCUAAUUAAGUCAAAUGUGAAAUCCCCGAGCUUAACUUGGGAAUUGCAUUCGAUACUGGUUAGCUAGAGUAUGGGAGAGGAUGGUAGAAUUCCAGGUGUAGCGGUGAAAUGCGUAGAGAUCUGGAGGAAUACCGAUGGCGAAGGCAGCCAUCUGGCCUAAUACUGACACUGAGGUGCGAAAGCAUGGGGAGCAAACAGGAUUAGAUACCCUGGUAGUCCAUGCCGUAAAACGAUGUCUACUAGCCGUUGGGGCCUUUGAGGCUUUAGUGGCGCAGCUAACGCGAUAAGUAGACCGCCUGGGGAGUAC